rnacentral:rRNA from 1 species
UUAAACUAGGAUUAGAUACCCUAUUAUAUUAAAGUUAAAUCUGUAAAUACUGAAUUAUUAAUAGAUAUUUCUUGAAAUUUAAAGAAUUUGGCGGUAAUUUAGUCUUGUCAGAGGAACCUGUUUUUUAAUCGAUACACCACGUUAUAUCUUACUUAUUUUAAAUAGUUUGUAUACCAUCAUUAGUAGAUAAUUUUAAAAGGAAAAAUUAUUGAAAUUAAAUACGUUAAAAAAAUUAGAUCAAGGUGCAGCUAAUAAAUAAGUUAAAAUGGGUUACAAUAAAAUUUAUUUAUAUGAAAUAAUUUAAAAAAUUGAAUUAUAAAGGUGGAUUUGAUUGUAAUAUAAGUUUAAUAAGCUUAUAAGAUACAAGCUCUAAAUUAUGUACACAUCGCCCGUCACUCUCAAAA